UCCGUAGGUGGACAGAUAAGUCAGAGGUGAAAUCCUGCAGCUCAACUGUAGAACUGCCUUUGAUACUGUUUGUCUUGAGUUACUGUGAAGUGGUUAGAAUGUGUAGUGUAGCGGUGAAAUGCAUAGAUAUUACACAGAAUACCGAUUGCGAAGGCAGAUCACUAACAAUUAACUGACACUGAUGGACGAAAGCGUGGGUAGCGAACAGGAUUAGAUACCCUGGUAGUCCACGCCGUAAACGAUGGUCACUAGCUGUUCGGAUUUCGGUCUGAGUGGCUAAGCGAAAGUGAUAAGUGACCCACCUGGGGAGUACGUUCGCAAGAAUGAAACUCAUAUGUAUUUGACCGGGGGCCCGCAACAAGCGUGGAGCAUGUGGUUUAAAUUCGAUGA
rnacentral:rRNA from 1 species